GGUCUCAUAGCACAAUGGUAGUGCAUCUGAGUGUAAUACCUCGCACCAGGCAUUGCUCAGGCAGUCCCCCGUUCGAUUCGGGUUGAGACCU